UACGUAGGGGGCGAGCGUUGUCCGGAUUUAUUGGGCGUAAAGAGCGUGUAGGCGGCCAGGUAGGUCUGCUGUGAAAACUCGAGGCUCAACCUCGAGACGUCGGCGGAAACCAUCUGGCUAGAGUCCGGAAGAGGAGAGUGGAAUUCCUGGUGUAGCGGUGAAAUGCGUAGAUAUCGGGAGGAACAUCAGUGGCGGAAGGCGG
rnacentral:rRNA from 1 species